GACCGGCUCCGGCUCCAGGCCCGGGGCGCUGACCCCCGACACCGCGCCCCCCCCCCCUUCCUGCUUCCACCCUCCGGACAGUAAAUGAUGGGGGAUGCAAUGGUCACAUCAAAGGGUUAGAAAAAGUCCUUGGUUUCUGAGGAGGGGCUGGACGGGCGUGGGGAGGAAAUUGAGUCCUGGGGAGGGGUCCCACAGGUAGAGUUAGAUUUCAUAGCCAGCCCCCUCCCAAGGAGGCAGAUUAAUCAAUCAUUUAAUUAAUUAUUAAUUAAUUUCGUUAUUUAUCCUUUAAUUAUUUGUUCGUAAUGGUUGUAGAAUUAACUCAUUGAUGGGUUGCUUAAUUACUAAAUUAAAGGCUGAUUGGAGGCUGGCAGUCAGGGGAAGGGGAGGAUUUGGGGGAGGACGAUUGGUGUGAUGGGAAUGAGGUUCCUCCCCCUCCCCCUGCCGCUGAGAGGCAGGAAUGCUCCUGUGGGAAUGGGGGAAGGGGCAGACUGAGCUGCCGGCCCCUGGCUGCCCACAGGACACAGCCAAAUUCCUCACCUCCUCCUGCUUCUGGGUGUGUCCUGCCCCCCACUGUCCCUCACCGUGGAGCACCCCUUGUUGUUCCCCCUCUGGCAGGGUGCCCACCCACCAUGGGAAGGGGAAGGCUUGCCUAUGGCCUCCUCCUAUCCUGAGAGAGCUCCUGCUUCAGUAUCCCCAAAGGCUCAGCCAAGCCUAGCUUGGGUCCACUCUGACCGUUAUCUGGGUAUCUAAAGCAGACCAGAAGGUCCAGGUUCAGGAGCCCCACUCUCCCCAAAGGCCCAGCCCAUCCCUACCCCAACUUGGGGUCCACUGUGACCACUGCCUAAGGCAGACCAGAAGGCCCAGAGUUCAGGAGCCUCGGCUGCCCACAGGGUCUCUGGGCAAAUUUCCUUCCUUCCUUGCCCCCGACUCCCUCCCUAUAUUCUGCUUUUGCCCCCCUGCAGGCAGCAUCUGCCCCACAUAGUAGCCCUUGAUAAAUGCUCAUUGACUGACUGACAGACAGACUCUUGGUUCUGCCCAGCCAAGAGUGCCCCAGUCACCCUCUCCCUGCACAUACCCCCCCUUGCCCCUCAGUGCAAGAAGGCUGUUGGACAAGCUGGCAACCCGAGAACUGCAGGCUUGUCACGCUUUGCUAAGGGCUGGCAUUCAGACGGAGGGUUUUGGUCUGAGCCCCAGCCUGGCACAGUGAAGAGGUUGAUCUGAGUUCAGAUUCAGUUCUUGGUCUGCCUUAGUUUCUACAACUAUAAAACGGGGAGAAUCACCUGCUUCCCAGGGUUGUUGUGAGGUGCCGAUAAGAUCAUUGUAAAGAUGUUAGAAAGCCAUAUGAACACAUUUUGUUCGGUCCUGACUCUUCGUGAUUCCAUCUGGGAUUUUAUUGGCAAAGCUACAGGAAUGGUUUUCCAUUUUCUGCUCCUGAGGCAAGUGGGCCGAGUGAUUUGCCCAGGGUCUCGCAGCUAGAAAGGGUCAGAUCUGAACUCAUGUAGCUGUUAUAGAUCAUUUCUGCACCAAAACAGGAAGCGAUGGUCUCCCGGAGGUGGGAAGGAGAGGUUUUGAGGGGUGUUAAUGAGCUGACAGACAAGUGGUGCUGGUGGGGAGGCCCUGGAGGACCGGGCCCUCUCCUUCCACUUGGAUUUCCCUUCUGUCCCUGCCUGACUGUUUCAGCCACAGUCCAGCAGGGACCCUCUCCAUGGUACGAUGCUUUUUCCCCAACAGUCUUGGGUGUUUGGACUCGGGAUAAAGGUCUCUUCUUCCCUGCCUCUGAAUUCCCUGGGUUAUCUCUUCUUGGAAGGAUCCAUCUGACCUCCAUGGUCCACUAUAAGCAAGGCACUGGUCGGCUCUGUGGCAGAGCUGCUGUGGGCCGAACCCAUGGGGUCCAGUUUCUAGGGACAGCUGUUCCCUAUCCACACCAAUGGCUGGCAAGAGGCCCCCUCUGGCCCAGGCCGACCUUCAGGCCAGGUGCCACCUGCUUUGGCCCCUCCCUCACCCCACCUGAGUUUGCUAGUGCUGGGGGGAGUUUCCCUGCCUCUUUCCCCCGAUUCGCUUCUGUCCAGUGCUCUUAGGGAUAGUGCUUGGUCAGCGUCCCAUCUUGGCCCGAAGGAAAGAUCGGAACACUAGUGUGCCAUUUCCAAAGGUCACUGGUCCUUGAUCCCUGGUCCAAAAGGGGAGAGGGGAAAUCAAUGAUUUUGUAACCGUGAGAAUCAUGGAUUUGCGCCAGGGGCAGAGUGGGCAGGGAGCUGAGCCCUGGUAGCAAGAAUCAGAUUCGGGCAUUGGAACUUAGAAGCUGUGUGACCCUAGGCAAGUCAACUUGUCCUAUCUGUAAAAUGGAACUCCCCCUUAGUCCUGUCUCGGGGGGUCCAGGGAUCAGCAGCAGAAGGCAAAUCUGGCUGGUUCCACUGAGCAGAGAAGGCAGCAAGCAGGGCCUGGUGGGGGGCUCCGAGUUGGCCGUCUGAGGGACGACGUCAGCCGCAGUGGCUCCCGGAGGUCACUUGCCAGUUACAGAAACUGAUUGGUGAUAGCGAAAGGGAUGGUCACUUACUGAAGUCCUAGCCCCUUGGAGCCUUGGACCGUGGGAUGCUCUGCCUAGGAUUGGGAGGAAUCUCAAAACAAGGGUAAGGGGAGGCCAUCUGAUGAGGGCCACGUAAAAUCCGAGGAGGCUCCAGGAGGCUGGCUGAGUCUGCUCACCUGGGAAGGCAGGAUGGGUGGCUCUCAGCUUUCUUCUCUGGCAGACUAGGAAUGGGAUCUUCUACGCCCUAUUCCCCUCCUGCACAGUGCCCAAAGUCCCUUAAUGAAUCAGCUGCUGAGCUAGAAAGCUCUCUCCUCUUUCCUGAUCUCUACCAUCUGGAUCGUCAUGAGCUGGCAAAGUAAACGUUCCUGACCUCUAUCCCAUACUGCUCCUGCCUCCUCCCCAUGAUCUGUGGGAGCAUCCUCAGGCCUGGACUCUUUGGACUUCUCCCUCACCUCCUUUAAAAGAACUUAAGAUCCAGUCUGGGAAGAAGAUCAUUCAAAGAACAGAAAGGCUUGCCCAAAGCCACGCAAGUCCCAUAAUAUACCUCAGCUGCAAUUUUCUUUUUAUAAAAUGGGGCCAUGUUAAUAGCUUAUCUCACAAUGUUAUUGUAAAGAUCAAAUUAAAUUAAAUUAUGAGA